UGAACGCUAGCGGCAGGCUUAACACAUGCAAGUCGAGGGGCAGCACGGGUAGCAAUAUCUGGUGGCGACCGGCGCAAGGGUGCGUAACGCGUGAGCAACAUGCCCGUAUCAGGGGGAUAAUCCAGGGAAACUUGGUCUAAUACCCCAUAGCAAUUGGAGGAGGCAUCUUUUCAAUUUAAAGCUUUGGUGGAUACGGAUUGGCUCGCGUGACAUUAGCUAGAUGGUAAGGUAACGGCUUACCAUGGCUACGAUGUCUAGGGGUUCUGAGAGGAAGAUCCCCCACACUGGAACUGAGACACGGUCCAGACUCCUACGGGAGGCAGCAGUGAGGAAUAUUGGACAAUGGAUGGAAAUCUGAUCCAGCCAUGCCGCGUGCAGGAAGACGGCCCUAUGGGUUGUAAACUGCUUUUGUAUGGGAGCAAUAAGGUCUAUGCGUAGACUGAUGAGAGUACCAUACGAAUAAGCAUCGGCUAACUCCGUG
rnacentral:rRNA from 1 species